rnacentral:rRNA from 1 species
GACGAACGCUGGCGGCGUGCUUAACACAUGCAAGUCGAACGGAAAGGCCCUGCUUUGGUGGGGUGCUCGAGUGGCGAACGGGUGAGUAACACGUGAGUAACCUGCCCUUGACUUUGGGAUAACUUCAGGAAACUGGGGCUAAUACCGGAUAGGAGCUCCUGCUGCAUGGUGGGGGUUGGAAAGUUUCGGCGGUUGGGGAUGGACUCGCGGCUUAUCAGCUUGUUGGGGGGGUAGUGGCUUACCAAGGCUUUGACGGGUAGCCGGCCUGAGAGGGUGACCGGCCGCAUUGGGACGGAGAUGCGGCCCAGACUCCUGCGGGAGGCAGUAGUGGGGAAGAGUGCACAACGGGCGGAAGCCUGAUGCAGCAACGCCGCGUGCGGGAUGAGGGCCUUCGGGUUGUAAACCGCUUUCGCCUGUGACGAAGCGUGAGUGACGGUAAUGGGUAAAGAAGCACCGGCUAACUACGUG